rnacentral:piRNA from 1 species
UUUUUUCUAUUUCUGUAACAA